rnacentral:rRNA from 1 species
CAGCACCUCAAGUGGUCAGGAUGAUUAUUGGGCCUAAAGCAUCCGUAGCCUGCUUUGUUAGUUUUCGGUUAAAUCCAUAUGCUCAACGUAUGGGCUGCCGGGAAUACUGCAAAGCUAGGGAGUGGGAGAGGUAGACGGUACUCGGUAGGAAGGGGUAAAAUCCUUUGAUCUAUUGAUGACCACCUGUGGCGAAGGCGGUCUACCAGAACACGUCCGACGGUGAGGGAUGAAAGCUGGGGGAGCAAACCGGAUUAGAUACCCGAGUAGUCC